ACGAAAAAAGGUGAUGUUCGGGAUUCAGCUUGAAAUUUUGAACUAGUUAACAACUGCAGCCGAGUGGAUUACGACUCUACGCGGAAAACGCAUUGAUGUAUGAAUGACUUUUCGUCCGAACCGUUGGCCUGUCAGGUGGCGAAGCACAGCGCACGACAGAGUACAAUUCAAAACUCUUAUUCACGCAAGUAUCACAGUCGGUUUGGUCGGAUUCGCCCGUGAGACGGAACCGCUGCGUAAUGCUCCCCACGUCCUUAACUUGAAAGACCUUCGCUUCCCAGAACUAAGCAAUCCAUUUUUGAUGACGCAUCGACUUAAAUUUAACAAGUAAAUGCUUUGAAUUUCA